CUUAGAAGUGAGGAAACAGGCUCCAAAAGCUUGUUACUUGCUUGUAGUCAAACAGAAGGCAGAGCUGCGAAUCAAAUCCAGGUUUGUCUCGACAUGCCACUAGCUCAUACUUCCCUUGGAUCAGCCACUAAAUGGCUUUCACUCCAGUGAGCAGCGACCAGCACCAGAAUUAUGGAACAUUUAUCAACAGCCUAAAAUAAAGACAACACGAGGAGAAUUUGGUUGCUUAUAUAGAUUCAAGGUACAAUCCUGCUGGAUUCUGGGAUUACAGGACUGUAGACAAAAGAGAAAUCAUCAUGGACUGUUCACUGGACAAAAUUUCAUGGAGAGGAGAAGACCUUUGGCGGUUCAUGGAUGUUCUAUAAUAAGUUAGAAUCUCGGAAUCUCGCUCUGUCGCCCAGGCUGGAGUGCAGUGGUGCAAUCUUGGCUCACUGCAAGCUCCACCUCCUGGAUUCCUGCCAUUCUCCUGCCUCAGCCUCCCGAGUAGCUGGGACUACAGGCACCUGCCACCAUGAAGAAAUAUCACAGUGUGCAUGCACAGAAGUACGACCAUGUGAAGAGGUAGCAAGAGAGCAGCAAUCUACAAGCCAAGGAAAGAGGCCACAGAGGAAACCAACCCUGCCAGCAUCUUGAUCUUGGACUUCCAGCUUCCAGAACUAACCAGGGACCCCACUCCCAUGCCGACAGUAUGGGCUGCUGUCUUCAGGACCAUUGCAAGUGUCCUUCACGGUUCGGUUCACAUUUCACAAGCCCCAUGAAGUCUAUCUGGAUUUUCGAUGGAUGUCUUGCCUUUUCCUCUACACACUACAGGAAGAGUGGCCACCCCUGCCAAGGGCCUAGUAUAGUACCCUAUACAUGUAGCUGAUCAGUUGAUUGUUACUGAUCAUAUGUAUCCUGCAUCAUGUUAUAAAAAAUUAACACAGUGCUUGGCACAUACUUGUACUGAAUGUCAGAGCUGCAGCAUGAUCUGGAGGCUUUCCUCGCUUUCUUCUGCUUCCCCUCCCUUGAUCCUUCACAGGCAUUUUCCUCAAUACAUCUCUUGCCUGGCUAA
rnacentral:lncRNA from 1 species